GACGAACGCUGGCGGCGUGCUUAACACAUGCAAGUCGAACGGAAAGGCCCUGCUUGCCGGGUACUCGAGUGGCGAACGGGUGAGUAACACGUGGGUGAUCUGCCCUGCACUUCGGGAUAAGCUUGGGAAACUGGGUCUAAUACCGGAUAGGAGCCAUCUUUAGUGUGGUGGUUGGAAAGUUUUUUCGGUGUAGGAUGAGCUCGCGGCCUAUCAGCUUGUUGGUGGGGUAAUGGCCUACCAAGGCGGCGACGGGUAGCCGGCCUGAGAGGGUGUACGGCCACAUUGGGACUGAGAUACGGCCCAGACUCCUACGGGAGGCAGCAGUGGGGAAUAUUGCACAAUGGGCGCAAGCCUGAUGCAGCGACGCCGCGUGGGGGAUGAAGGCCUUCGGGUUGUAAACUCCUUUCGCUAGGGACGAAGCGUUGUUGUGACGGUACCUAGAUAAGAAGCACCGGCUAACUACGUG
rnacentral:rRNA from 1 species